GCUGGGUGCGGUGGCUCAUGCCUGUAAUCCAAGCAGCUCAGGAGGCUGAGGCAGGAGGAUCACAUGUCAAGGCCAGACUCAGCAAUUUAGUGAGACCUGUCUCAA
rnacentral:sRNA from 1 species